rnacentral:lncRNA from 1 species
GAAUAGAAUUUUUUCUUAGAACUGAGUUGAACUCAGUUAGAACUCAGUUCUUCUAAGAACUAGAAUCUGGAACUCAGAUAUACAACUGGAUAUAAUACUCCUAAUUUACAUGCUAAUUUUUAACAUAUACCUGAUCAUCUCCUCUCUAAUGAGGCAGUAUAGUCUUUGGCUCUCAAGAACAUGUUUUAUGACUGGCUCACCUUGAAAACAAUAAUUCACAGCAUCUACUCUUAAACAGUUUUACUAGUAACUACUACCUAUAAAACUACUACCAACCAGGAUGCAGUAUCCCUUAGGAAUUUGGAGAAAUGAAGAUAGUUUGAAGAUUUGAGUUUAUAUAUUUGUGGUGGCUGUCAAAGUGUGCCACUUAGAUAUCCUUCAAGAGAGAACUUAAUGUUUCCCGUCAGCUGGAAAGGAAAAAACAAGAAAUAUCAUGUAUAUGACGGUUCAUGGAUGGACCUAGAAGUGGUGUGUCUCCUUUGCUCACAUUCUACGCUCUGGAAUCCAGUGACAGGGCAUAUCCAACCAUAUGGGAGGUUGGGAAUUAGUAUCUAUGUGCCAGAGAAGAGGAGCACUUUCAGCAGUUCUAUCAUGCAGGAUUGUGAAAAUAUCCCCAUUACUGGAGAUUGAUAAUCUCUGUAAAUUUGCCAAGUCAUCUGUCUUUUAAAAUCAGGAGAAAGACAAAGAAGGAGGUAAUUAAAAGACUGCAAAGGAGUGUGGAUAGAGCUAAAUUGGAUUAUAAUAAAUUUGCACCUCAAUCUCA